AUUGAACGCUGGCGGCAGGCCUAACACAUGCAAGUCGAGCGUGCGGCGGACGGGUGAGUAACGUCUGGGAAACUGCCUGAAGGAGGGGGAUAACUAUUGGAAACGUUAGUUAAUCCCGCAUACCAUCAGAUGUGCACCGAUGGGAUUGGCUAGUGGGUGGGGUAAUGGUUCACCAAGGCGACGACCCCUAGCUGGUGUGAGAGGAUGACGGGCCAGACGGGAACGGAGAAAGGGUCCAGACUCCAACGGAGGGCAGAGGUGGGGAAUAUUGCACAAUGGGCGAAAGCCUGAUGCGGCCAGGCCGCGUGUGUGAAGAAGGCCUUCGGGUUGUAAAGCACUUUCAGCGAGGAGGCGUUACUCGCAGAAGAAGCACCGGCUAACUCCGUGCCAGCCGCCGCGGUAAUUC
rnacentral:rRNA from 1 species